AGAUGACGUCAAGUCAGUACGCCCUUACGUCCUGGGCCACACACGUGCUACAAUGGCCGGUACAGUGGGCUGCAAAACAGUAAUGUUGAGCUAAUCCCCAAAGCCGGCCUCAGUUCAGAUUGAGGGCUGCAACUCGCCCUCAUGAAGCUGGAAUCGCUAGUAACGGCAUAUCAGCCACGGUGCCGUGAAUACGUUCCCGGGUCUUGUACACACCGCCCGUCAAGUCACCUGAGUUGACUGCACCCGAAGUCGCUGACCAAACCCGCAAGGGAAGGAGGCGCCGAAGGUGUGGUUGGCAAGGAGGACACA
rnacentral:rRNA from 1 species